CCUACGGGUGGCUGCAGUGGGGAAUCUUGGACAAUGGGCGCAAGCCUGAUCCAGCCAUGCCGCGUGAGUGAAGAAGGCCUUAGGGUUGUAAAGCUCUUUUACCAGGGACGAUAAUGACGGUACCUGGAGACUAAGCCCCGGCAGACUUCGUGCCAGCAACCGCGGUCAUACGAAGGGGGCUAGCGUGGUUCGGAAUUACUGGGCGUAAAGCGCACGUAGGCGGGUCGUUAAGUCAGGGGUGAAAUCCCGGGGCUCAACUCCGGAACUGCCCUUGAUACUGGCGAGCUAGAGGUCGAGAGAGGUGAGUGGAAUUCCGAGUGUAGAGGUGAAAUUCGUAGAGAUUCGGAAGAACACCAGUGGCGAAGGCGGCUCACUGGCUCGAUACUGACGCUGAGGUGCGAAAGCGUGGGGAGCAAACAGGAUUAGAUACCCUAGUAGUC
rnacentral:rRNA from 1 species